CAGUCAGGCAGAGGUUUCUCUGAUCUCCAUCCACUUCUCAGCCAUGCGUCCUUGAGAAUGUAAGACUGUUUCUUUGUUUUACUGCAUUUUCUUUACUAUUUUAUGUUAAUUAUACAAAUUGGAACUUGAUUGUUUGACUUAAAGCCUAUGUUAACCUAUUACUUUGUUUUAGUUGACACAGAAACCAUGGUUGGAUGGAAAAUAAAGCCUCAAAAGUGCUUCAAUUGUCAUCGUCUCUUUAAUUUGAGACACUUAGGUGGUCAGCUUUUUAACAAGAACUUAACAAGUUUUAAUAGUCACUCAGGACUGAUUUUUUUUUAUUUUUUUUUAUUUUUUUUUUUUUUAUAAGGGGAAUCUGGUCAGCCCUUUACUUUUUCUAUGAUCAGUUGCAUUUUUACCUCAGUGUUCACACAUUAAUGUUUAUUGUUUUAUAUUUUUAUUCUUAUAUUUGUGGUACAGACCAAAGAUAAGGUCAUUUUAUUUAUUGUAUUUUGCUACUAUUGUUUUUACAAACUUAACUGCGGGUUAUGCUGACUGUUUAGUAGUAGUAGGGAUAGUACUUUUCUGAGGCUGCUCCCUUCCCCCAGGUGCGCUGAGGCUGAUUGGACACACCUGUCUCUGCUCUGCAAUCAAGCCUGCAGAGACUUACCUCAGCUCCAUAGUACUGCCAGCUACUCACCAGUGGGCCUCUCUCCGUGCCUUACCACAGCCCUCUCACUCCGGAGCCCUCACUACCCCCUACACGUGGAACCCCCUCCUUUCACUGAAAUUGUUAACCAAUAAAAACCAAUAAUCUGUUAAA